GACGAACGCUGGCGGCGUGCCUAAUACAUGCAAGUUGAGCGCUGAAGGUUGGUACUUGUACCAACUGGAUGAGCAGCGAACGGGUGAGUAACGCGUGGGGAAUCUGCCUUUGAGCGGGGGACAACAUUUGGAAACGAAUGCUAAUACCGCAUAAAAACUUUAAACACAAGUUUUAAGUUUGAAAGAUGCAAUUGCAUCACUCAAAGAUGAUCCCGCGUUGUAUUAGCUAGUUUGUGAGGUAAAGGCUCACCAAGGCGAUGAUACAUAGCCGGCCCGAGAGGGUGAUCGGGCACAACGGGAACUGGACAAGGGCCCAACUCCUACGGGGGGCAGGAGUAGGGGAACUUCGGACAAAGGGCGAAGUCUUACCGAAGAACGGCGGGUUGGUGAAGGAAGUUUUCGGGUCGUAAAACUCUGUUGGUAGGGAAGAAAGUUGGUGAGAUUGAAAAGCUCAUCUAGUGACGGUAACUAACCAGAAAGCGACGGCUAACUACGUG
rnacentral:rRNA from 1 species